GUCUCUGUGGUGCAAUUGGUUAGUGCAUUCGGCUGUUAACAGGAAGGCUGGUGGUUAAAGCCCAUCCAGGGACA
rfam:Cricetulus griseus cell line CHO-K1, whole genome shotgun sequence.